AGAGAUGUAGCUCAGUGGUAGGGCAUCUGCUUUGCAUGCAGAAGGUCCCUUGUUCAAUCCCUGCUUCUCCA